UACGGGGGGGGCAAGCGUUGUUCGGAAUUACUGGGCGUAAAGGGCCAGUAGGCGGCCAACUAAGCCAGAUGUGAAAUCCCCGGGCUCAACCUGGGAAUGGCAUUUGGGACUGCAAGGCUAGAGUGUGGCAGAGGAGACUGGAAUUCCUGGUGUAGCAGUGAAAUGCGUAGAUAUCAGGAGGAAUACCGAUGGCGAAGGCAGGUCUCUGGGUUAACACUGACGCUCAUGCACGAAAGCGUGGGGAGCAAACAGG
rnacentral:rRNA from 1 species